GGCGAACGGGUGAGUAACACGGGGAUAAUCUACCUGUAAGUGGGGGAUAACUCCGGGAAACUGGGGAUAAUGCCGCAUAAUAUUUGGACAGGGCAUCUUGUUGAAAUCAAAGGAGCAAUUCGCUAAGAGAUGAAUCCGCGUCCCAUCAGCUAGUGGGUAGGGUAAUGGCCUCCGGGGCGACGACGGGUAGCCGGCUUGAGAGAGCGAUCGGCCACAAGGGGACUGAGACGCGGCCCCUACUCCUACGGGAGGCAGCAGUAGGGAAUUUUGGUCAAUGGGGGAAACCCUGAACCAGCGACGCCGCGUGGGUGAUGAAAUCCUUCGGGAUGUAAAACCCUUUUCAUUGGGACGAAAUAAAAAUUAGCGGUACCGGGUGGAUAAGCUC
rnacentral:rRNA from 1 species